UUAUAAGCGUGUUAGAGGUAAAGGUUAUAAGCAUGUUAAAGGUAAAGGUUAUAAGCGUGUUAGAGGUAAAGGUUAUAAGCGUGUUAGAGGUAAAGGUUAUAAGCAUGUUAGAGGUAAAGGUUAUAAGCAUGUUAGCGGUAAAGGUUAUAAUUAUGUUGAAGGUAAAGGUUAUAAGAUCAUCUCCAAGCAGCUUGAUGUUCCUGUGACUACAGCUGCACAAAUUAUUCAGACAUUUAAGAUCCAUGGGACUGUAGACAGCCUCCCUGGACGUGGCCACAGGAGGAAAACUGAUAACAAAUCAAAGAGAUAGAUAAUACGACUGGUAACAAAAGAGCCCAGAAAAACUUCUAAAGAGAUUAAAGGUGAAGUUCAAGGUCAAGGAACAUCAGUGUCAGAUCAAACCAUCCAUCGUAGUUUGAGUCAAAGUGGACUUAAUGGGAGACCCAAGGAGGAGGACACCAAAUCAUAAAAAAUAACUACAUGUUGACAAGCCUCAAAGCUUCUGGGACAAUGUCCUCUGGACAGAGGAGAAAAAAAUACAUAUUUUUGUUAAGGCACAUCAGCUCCAUGUUCACAGAGGGAAAACUGAAUCAUAUGAAGAAAAGAACACUUCCUACUGUGAAACAUGGAGGAGGUCUGUUGUGGUCUGGGCUGCUUUGCUGCAUCUGCAGGGGGUCUUGAGUCUG